rnacentral:rRNA from 1 species
CUGGGGAUCUGCCCGAUAGAGGGGGAUAACCACUGGAAACGGUGGCUAAUACCGCAUAACGUCGCAAGACCAAAGAGGGGGACCUUCGGGCCUCUCACUAUCGGAUGAACCCAGAUGGGAUUAGCUAGUAGGCGGGGUAAUGGCCCCCCUACGCCACGAUCCCUAGCUGGUCUGAGAGGAUGACCACCCACACUGGAACUGACACACGGUCCAGACUCCUACGGGAGGCAGCAGUGGGGAAUAUUGCACAAUGGGCGCAAGCCUGAUGCACCCAUGCCGCGUGUAUGAAGAAGGCCUUCGGGUUGUAAAGUACUUUCAGCGGGGAAGAAGGCGGUGCGGUUAAUAACCGCGUCUAUUGACUUUACCCGCAAAAGAAGCACCGGCUAACUCCGUGCCAGCACCCGCGGUAAUACAGAGGGUGCAAGCGUUAAUC